rnacentral:rRNA from 1 species
AACGUAGGACGCAAGCGUUAUCCGGAGUGACUGGGCGUAAAGGGCGUGCAGGCGGCUGGUCAAGUGGCUCGUGAAAGACCCCGGCUCAACCGGGGGAGGACGGGUCAGACUGGCGAGCUAGAGGAUGCCAGAGGGACACGGAAUUCCGGGUGUAGUGGUGAAAUGCGUAGAGAUCCGGAGGAACACCAGUGGCGCAGGCGGUGUCCUGGGGCGUACCUGACGCUGAGGCGCGACAGCAUGGGGAGCGAACGGG